UUUAUUCUUUUGUUAAAACUCGGUUUAACUAAGUUCGGUCCAACAACUUAGCGCCAUUAUAAUACAACCAGAAGGAAGAAAAACCACAUAAUGUUGAAUUUUAAUACCUGUUAACUUCCUCUGUGGCUUCUGUUUCAAAUUGACUUUGACAAACUCCAACAAGAUCAUCAGCUUUUUCAGCGGGAACAUCAUCAGCUUUUUCAACGGAAACAUCAUCGUCAGGUCCAGUUCCACACAAAUCAUCAUGAUGCUUCUCUGUUGUCU
rnacentral:lncRNA from 1 species